rnacentral:rRNA from 2 species
AAUCCAUAGGUUAAUGAGGCGAACCGGGGGAACUGAAACAUCUAAGUACCCCGAGGAAAAGAAAUCAACCGAGAUUCCCCCAGUAGCGGCGAGCGAACGGGGAGGAGCCCAGAGCCUGAAUCAGCAUGUGUGUUAGUGGAAGCGUCUGGAAAGGCGCGCGAUACAGGGUGACAGCCCCGUACACAAAAGCGCAUGUGCUGUGAGCUCGAUGAGUAGGGCGGGACACGUGGUAUCCUGUCUGAAUAUGGGGGGACCAUCCUCCAAGGCUAAAUACUCCUGACUGACCGAUAGUGAACCAGUACCGUGAGGGAAAGGCGAAAAGAACCCCGGCGAGGGGAGUGAAAAAGAACCUGAAACCGUGUACGUACAAGCAGUGGGAGCACAGGUUUACCUGUGUGACUGCGUACCUUUUGUAUAAUGGGUCAGCGACUUAUAUUCUGUAGCAAGGUUAACCGUAUAGGGGAGCCGUAGGGAAACCGAGUCUUAACCGGGCGUUAAGUUGCAGGGUAUAGACCCGAAACCCGGUGAUCUAGCCAUGGGCAGGUUGAAGGUUGGGUAACACUAACUGGAGGACCGAACCGACUAAUGUUGAAAAAUUAGCGGAUGACCUGUGGCUGGGGGUGAAAGGCCAAUCAAACCGGGAGAUAGCUGGUUCUCCCCGAAAGCUAUUUAGGUAGCGCCUCGUGAAUUCAUCUCCGGGGGUAGAGCACUGUUUCGGCUAGGGGGCCAUCCCGGCUUACCAACCCGAUGCAAACUGCGAAUACCGGAGAAUGUUAUCACGGGAGACACACGGCGGGUGCUAACGUCCGUCGUGAAGAGGGAAACAACCCAGACCGCCAGCUAAGGUCCCAAAGUCAUGGUUAAGUGGGAAACGAUGUGGGAAGGCCCAGACAGCCAGGAUGUUGGCUUAGAAGCAGCCAUCAUUUAAAGAAAGCGUAAUAGCUCACUGGUCGAGUCGGCCUGCGCGGAAGAUGUAACGGGGCUAAACCAUGCACCGAAGCUGCGGCAGCGAACGUAUCACCCAAGACAACUUUACGGAGUUGACGAUUGACGGAGCGAAGCGACGUCAAAGCGUUCAUUAAAGUCGAGUUGGCUUAGGGAUACGUUCGUUGGGUAGGGGAGCGUUCUGUAAGCCUGUGAAGGUGUGUCGUGAGGCAUGCUGGAGGUAUCAGAAGUGCGAAUGCUGACAUAAGUAACGAUAAAGCGGGUGAAAAGCCCGCUCGCCGGAAGACCAAGGGUUCCUGUCCAACGUUAAUCGGGGCAGGGUGAGUCGACCCCUAAGGCGAGGCCGAAAGGCGUAGUCGAUGGGAAACGGGUUAAUAUUCCCGUACUUGGUGUUACUGCGAAGGGGGGACGGAGAAGGCUAUGUUGGCCGGGCGACGGUUGUCCCGGUUUAAGCGUGUAGGUGUGUGUUCCAGGUAAAUCCGGUUCACUUUAACACUGAGGCGUGACGACGAGGCACUACGGUGCUGAAGCAACAAAUGCCCUGCUUCCAGGAAAAGCCUCUAAGCAUCAGGUAACAUCAAAUCGUACCCCAAACCGACACAGGUGGUCAGGUAGAGAAUACCAAGGCGCUUGAGAGAACUCGGGUGAAGGAACUAGGCAAAAUGGUGCCGUAACUUCGGGAGAAGGCACGCUGACACGUAGGUGAAGUGAUUUACUCAUGGAGCUGAAGUCAGUCGAAGAUACCAGCUGGCUGCAACUGUUUAUUAAAAACACAGCACUGUGCAAACACGAAAGUGGACGUAUACGGUGUGACGCCUGCCCGGUGCCGGAAGGUUAAUUGAUGGGGUCAGCGCAAGCGAAGCUCCUGAUCGAAGCCCCGGUAAACGGCGGCCGUAACUAUAACGGUCCUAAGGUAGCGAAAUUCCUUGUCGGGUAAGUUCCGACCUGCACGAAUGGCGUAAUGAUGGCCAGGCUGUCUCCACCCGAGACUCAGUGAAAUUGAACUCGCUGUGAAGAUGCAGUGUACCCGCGGCAAGACGGAAAGACCCCGUGAACCUUUACUAUAGCUUGACACUGAACAUUGAGCCUUGAUGUGUAGGAUAGGUGGGAGGCUUUGAAGUGUGGACGCCAGUCUGCAUGGAGCCGACCUUGAAAUACCACCCUUUAAUGUUUGAUGUUCUAACGUGGACCCGUAAUCCGGGUUGCGGACAGUGUCUGGUGGGUAGUUUGACUGGGGCGGUCUCCUCCUAAAGAGUAACGGAGGAGCACGAAGGUUGGCUAAUCCUGGUCGGACAUCAGGAGGUUAGUGCAAUGGCAUAAGCCAGCUUGACUGCGAGCGUGACGGCGCGAGCAGGUGCGAAAGCAGGUCAUAGUGAUCCGGUGGUUCUGAAUGGAAGGGCCAUCGCUCAACGGAUAAAAGGUACUCCGGGGAUAACAGGCUGAUACCGCCCAAGAGUUCAUAUCGACGGCGGUGUUUGGCACCUCGAUGUCGGCUCAUCACAUCCUGGGGCUGAAGUAGGUCCCAAGGGUAUGGCUGUUCGCCAUUUAAAGUGGUACGCGAGCUGGGUUUAGAACGUCGUGAGACAGUUCGGUCCCUAUCUGCCGUGGGCGCUGGAGAACUGAGGGGGGCUGCUCCUAGUACGAGAGGACCGGAGUGGACGCAUCACUGGUGUUCGGGUUGUCAUGCCAAUGGCACUGCCCGGUAGCUAAAUGCGGAAGAGAUAAGUGCUGAAAGCAUCUAAGCACGAAACUUGCCCCGA